rnacentral:tRNA from 1 species
GCGUCGGUAGCUAAGCGGUAAAGCACCUGACUUUUAAUCAGGAUACUCGAUGGUUCGAAUCCAUCCCGGCGCACCA